UACGGGGGGAGCAAGCGUUGUUCGGAUUUACUGGGCGUAAAGGGCGCGUAGGCGGCCAGCACAAGUCAGUUGUGAAAUCUCCGAGCUUAACUCGGAAAGGUCAACUGAUACUGUGCGGCUAGAGUGCGGAAGGGGCAAUCGGAAUUCUUGGUGUAGCGGUGAAAUGCGUAGAUAUCAAGAGGAACACCUGAGGUGAAGACGGGUUGCUGGGCUGACACUGACGCUGAGGCGCGAAAGCCAGGGGAGCAAACGGG
rnacentral:rRNA from 1 species